rnacentral:lncRNA from 1 species
AACUUAUGAUGGAGUUUGGUUCAAGCCCUGCUGUCAUAAGUUGGAGUGGUUCAAAGUUGGAAAUGCCCAAAAUUUAUGGAAUUCCCACUAUCAUUAUUUAUUAUUACACACUACUUUAUUGUAACAAACUUAGCAAAUACAAGAACCAAAUGCAAAAAGGAUGUUUUCCAUAUAUUAAACCAUUGCUCAGAGAUUUGGACCCAUACUAGUUGCAUUGACCAAUCUUAGAAUUUACUGAUUAUAUCAUCACCAUAAAUACAAAUAGUCAUAAGUUGUGGACAUCAUAAGUCAAGGAUUUUCUGUACUAAUUAUUCGAGUAUUCUUUAAGUUCACACUGUCAAAAUUUGAUUUGAUUUUAAGUGCUACAUAGUAUUUGUUAUAAAGACAGAAAUAUAUUUAUUUGAAAGAAAUAUUUUCAUUAUUUUUAGAGUUGUUAUCACCUUCUCUU